GUUGAACGCUGGCGGCAGGCCUAAUACAUGCAAGUCGAGCGGUCACAGGAGGAGCUUUGCUUUUUUGCUGUCGCGUCGCGGGCGGGUGUGACAUGUCUGGGACCCUGCUAGAAGGAGGGGGAUACCUACUGGAAACGGUAGCUAAUCCCGAAUAACGUCGCAAGACCAAAGUUGGGGACCUUAGGGCCUCUUUCCUUUGGCUGAUACCAGAUGGGAUUAGCUAGUAGGUGGGGUAACGGCUAACCAAGGCGACGAUCCCUAGCUGGUCUGAGAGGAUGACCGGCCACACUGGAACUGAGACACGGUCCAGACUCCUACGGGAGGCAGCAGUGGGGAAUAUUGCACAAUGGGCGCAAGCCUGAUGCAGCCAUGCCGCGUGUAUGAAGAAGGCCUUCGGGUUGUAAAAUUCUGUCAGCAGGGAGGAAGGGAGUAAAAAGAAUACCUGUACCCAUUGACGGUACCCGCAGAAAAGGCACCGGCUAACUCCGUG
rnacentral:rRNA from 1 species